GCGGGAGUAGCUCAGUUGGUAGAGCGACAGUCUUCCAAACUGUAGGUCGCGGGUUCGAAUCUCGUCUCCCGCU
rfam:Chitinophagaceae bacterium IBVTCB1 contig000001, whole genome shotgun sequence.